UGGGGAAUAUUGGACAAUGGGGGCAACCCUGAUCCAGCAAUGCCGCGUGUGUGAAGAAGGCCUUCGGGUUGUAAAGCACUUUUAUCGGGAACGAAACAUUGUCGGCCAAUACCCGGCAAGACUGACGGUACCCGAGGAAUAAGCACCGGCUAACUCCGUGCCAGCAGCCGCGGUAAUACGGAGGGUGCGAGCGUUAAUCGGAAUUACUGGGCGUAAAGCGUGCGCAGGCGGUUUGUUAAGUCUGCUGUGAAAUCCCCGAGCUCAACUUGGGAAUUGCAGUGGAUACUGGCAAGCUGGAGUACGGUAGAGGAAGGUGGAAUUCCCGGUGUAGCAGUGAAAUGCGUAGAGAUCGGGAGGAACAUCUGUGGCGAAGGCGACUGCCUGAACCAGCACUGACACUGAGGCACGAAAGCGUGGGGAGCAAACA
rnacentral:rRNA from 1 species